rnacentral:lncRNA from 10 species
UCUAGCUAAGCACAGCAGUUCACGCCUGUAAUCCCAGCACUUUGGGAGGCCAAGGCAGGUAGAUCAUCUGAGUCAGGAGUUCAACCAACCUGGCCAACAUGGUGAAACCCCAUCUCUACUAAAAAUAUAAAAAAUUAGCCAGGCAUGGUGGCAGGUGCCUGUAAUCCCAGCUACUUGGGAGGCUGAGGCAGGAGAAUCGCUUGAACCCGAGAGGCAGAGGUUGCAGUGAGCUGAGAUUGCGCCAUUGCACUCCAGCCUGGGCAACAAGAGUGAAACUCCAUCUAAAAAAAAAAAGAUCUUUAUUUUGUUAAGCCUCUGUAGUAGGGGUACUAUUAUAUGAAGCUAAAUGUAAUUCCUGGCUGAUACAGUGAGUUAGGAAACAAAGGAGAGAAAAGGAGUGAUCAGAUAAGUAAGAGGAGAGCCAGAAAAGUUCAGUUCACAGGAGCUGAUGGAAUAGAGUCUGGACCC